rnacentral:lncRNA from 1 species
GAAAAAAGAAGAAGGAAGUCCAUUUGCAGCAGAUUAAAUGAAGCCGACAAAUUGACUCUUUCUUAGUCCUGAUGCUCAAUAGUCCAAAUCUUCCCCUGUUUGUUUGUUUGGAUACUAUCAGGCAGAGGCUGAGCUGAAGCUAUAUUUACACCGAUCAGAUGGCCAGGAUGUUUAUGCUGACAGCUUGGCUGCUGCUGCUCCACGCAAAAAGAGGCUGAGUUCUGCUUUUCUUUCCCACGGUGGAAAAUUGAAUCUCUUGCUCUUUUUUUAUCCAGUCUCUAUUUUUUCCAAUUUGUGAGAACUGUUUAUCUUUGAAGCUUCAACCCCACUUUCUAACAUUGAUCAACAUUCAAAAGUUAUCAGAGGAAGAUCAGUAAGCGAGAGAAACCAGGCCAACCCCUUGCCCCAAACUGAAGACUGCCAGCAAAAUUAUUUAAAGCACAUGGAACAUCUUGUCACAAAACAUAGGAGUGGCAUCAUUCUGGAGAAGCCAAGCAUAGGGACACGGCAGAUCCUUCCUGAUACGUAGCCUGAAAAACGAUGCUAAGAGACUGAAAAUAUGAUAUAUAACAGAACAAGGAAUUAAUGAGGAUGUUCACUACAGCAGCCUAAAAGAGGAUGCAUGCAGUUAGAGGCCAAGGUAAUCAGGCAGAAGAUAGAUCUAUCUCUUGGGAUAAAUUAAAGAAAAUUUGGAAGAAGUAUCUGGAUUUCCUCCACCUGUUCUAGAGUUUUGGACAGAAACCUUCUGAGUAAAUCCAGGAUUUGAAAACCCUACUCUAAUGGAGCCAGUGAUUUAGAAAGCUCCAAGGAAUGUAACCAUCAUUACUCCCUGCCGAAAUAAAUCAACUCUGCGAGAUCGAGAAGGCAUUCUGACAAAAAUAGCUACCUCGACUAGUCUGCAGUGCAUGAUUCAUCCUUUACUCACUUUGGAGCCUGAAGCAAUUUAAAGGCCAGCUCAAAACAUUUACCAUGCUAUUUAAGGUCCGGUACAGGCUCAAUACCCAGGUGCGCAAACUCUUCACCUAAUCCUCUGACCUUCCCUGGACUGCGCACCACCAGUGACCGACUGAGUAAGACCUCUGGGGUAAUAAACAGCACACUGGCCAGUCAAAAACAAAACCUCUGCCUCCAUGAAACCGCAAGAUGGAUUUUGACAGAUUCACUUCUAGUCCAGAGCUAAUUAUGCAGCAUCCAGCUGAAGAGAGGAGGAAACUGCAAAAGUGAGCACCGACUGUUUGAAGAAAGUUGCUUUAGUUAAAGAUAUCGUUAGCAUGUUUUUUUUUUUUCUGAAAAACUACAAGGCAUAGACCUGGAGAAUGACACUUGACUGUCUACACUGUUAAAUUGUUAAAACUCCCUGACACAAUUUUGGCCCAGACCCAAAUGCAUACUUCACAGUUUGAGAAUUAACAUGAGCAAAGGACUAUUCUCAGUAGGUAAACUGGAUGUGGCCACCGGGUUUUGAAGAGUAAUAUGGAGUGGGGUAUCCCAUAUCAGCUGAACUCAGCACCAUGUUUAAUUUGUUAGUAUAGAGGUAGUCUACAGUUUUAGCCCUGUGCCCAGCAUUACUGUUUUUUAAGCAUCUAAUCAGGAUACUCUC